ACUAACAAGGAUUCCCCUAGUAACUGCGAGUGAAGCGGGAAAAGCUCAAAUUUAAAAUCUGGCAGCCUUCGGUUGUCCGAGUUGUAGUCUGGAGAAGCGUUUUCCGCGCUGGACCGUGUAUAAGUCCCUUGGAAUAGGGCGUCAUAGAGGGUGAGAAUCCCGUCUUUGACACGGACUACCAGUGCUUUGUGAUGCGCUCUCAAAGAGUCGAGUUGUUUGGGAAUGCAGCUCAAAAUGGGUGGUAAAUUCCAUCUAAAGCUAAAUAUUGGCGAGAGACCGAUAGCGAACAAGUACCGUGAGGGAAAGAUGAAAAGCACUUUGGAAAGAGAGUUAAACAGUACGUGAAAUUGCUGAAAGGGAAACGCUUGAAGUCAGUCGCGUUAUGCAGAACUCAGCCUGGCUUUUGCUUGGUGUAUUUUCUGUAUGACGGGUCAGCAUCAAUUUUGAUCGCUGGAAAAAGGUCUCAGAAAUGUGGCACCUUCGGGUGUGUUAUAGUCUGGGGUCAUAUACAGCGGUUGGGAUUGAGGUCUGCAGCACGCCUUUAUGGCUGGGGUUCGCCCACAUUCGUGCUUAGGAUGCUGGCGUAAUGGCUUUAAACGACCCGUCUUGAAACACGGACCAAGGAGUCUAACAUGCCUGCGAGUGUUUGGGUGGAAAACCCGAGCGCGUAAUGAAAGUGAAAGUUGAGAUCCCUGUCGUGGGGAGCAUCGACGCCCGGACCAGACCUUUUGUGACGGAUCUGCGGUAGAGCAUGUAUGUUGGGACCCGAAAGAUGGUGAACUAUGCCUGAAUAGGGUGAAGCCAGAGGAAACUCUGGUGGAGGCUCGUAGCGAUUCUGACGUGCAAAUCGAUCGUCAAAUUUGGGUAUAGGGGCGAAAGACUAAUCGAACC
rnacentral:rRNA from 1 species